GCUCCUCCCCUUCUACUUCCCAUUGGCUGCAGCACUAGGGUUCCCAUGGAAAACACUACCUAGUGACGUCAAUAUGCGCUCAUUGGUGUAUGACUCCGCCAGUCUCUUUAUAUAAAUCUUGCAGGCGCCGCACGUGGAAUCCCAUGCCGAUGCUAUGAUCUCGGAAAAUAGAGUGACCGUAUAAAGUUCAAAAUGACGUCCAGCAUAGCCAGUGGUGUGGGCAGCCAAUGCUGCGGCACCCUGGGAGUAGUUGGGUGUUCGGUGCCACAGCGAUUUGAAGAAAGGACGGCCUGGUGUCAAGAAGCAACAAAGAAGACACAGAUGAUAUUAUGCAAAUGGUACAGAGAUUGGACUGCUGAGGACUAGGGUAAAGUAAUUUUUGGGAUAAAUCCCCUUUUUUAUUGUUAGACAGCAUUCCAGGGUGAAUUGCAGUUGAAAUUGAGGCCUUAAAAUAGAAGGAUCAACACUGCAAAUAUUGCAUAAAUUUAAUACAAUUGUCAAUAAAGCCUUGGCACUUAUGAAAUACAUAUAAUUAUACUGACAAAAAUAUCUAUAAACACAGAAGCAGCAGACUUUGUGGAACCUAAUAUAUUUCUCAAAAUUUUGUCCAAAACCAGUACAGUUUUGGAAACCACUACAUAUGGCUGUCCUCUCAAAAUAUGCUCUAUUUUAGGGUAUGGGGGUAGUUUUGGACACAGCCUCUGUCAGUUCAAGUCCAUGGAGGUGAGAACAAUUUUUACAGUGUAUAUUAAAAUUAUUCAAACCUUUUUUGUGUUUUGUUGUUUUACAGCCAUAAUCAGGGUUUCAUUUAGGUAAGGCUCUAUUUUUCAUGAGGAUCAUGAUCUGUUGACUGUUAUAACAAUGUUCAUUAUAUAUGGAUAUACUUUUUAUUUAAACACUUUUGUGCAGGUUUGUGCAAAUAAAUGUAGGGUGUUGCGCCUAGAACAGUUCAGUUCAUUUAAAAAUCAUAUAGUUAUCCUCAUGCUUAAUGGGGAGUUACUGGGGUUCAAAAUAUUCAUUAACGGCAGUUGUUUCAUCCAAAUGUUUUUUAUUUUGCACCAAACUCUAAAAUGAUUUUUAACUUUUUUUCAGUUAUUUAUUAUUUAUUCAGUAAUUGUACUUAUGAGGGAAAGUUCAAUGAAAGUAACUUUAAUAGUAUUUAUAUAAAAUGGGCAAGACAGAGCAAAGCCUGUAUUAAAGGUUUCAAUGAAAUCAAAAGUCAGUGUAACAUACAGCAACAUGAGCAUACACACACACACACACACACACACACACACACACAAAAUAAGUUUACAGUUGCACUUUUACAUUUGCAUAUUGCACCAAGGCAUCAAGACAUCUUCUAAAAUAGCAUAAGGAGUAGGGCCAAAAGACAUUUGAGUAUAACCUGUUCUAGUGUAAAAUGAAAUUUAUUUGAUAGGCACAAAUCUUACUCUCAUAUACCAUAACAGCACAGGAAAUGAAUGUAUAAUUCUCUGGAAUGUUGGUCCUAGAAUCUUUGCAUUGCUCUUAAUAAUCUUCUAAUCACAGUGCAAACUUUCUUCCCAUUCACACAUACAGAUAUUCAGUGUAAAAAUAACAUGCUCAGUGCAUCAAAACAUCCCUAGUCACACAGCCAAAAAGAGAAGCAGCACUAGAGACAGCAUGUUAUGUACAGUAAAAAAAAAACAUUGAAAAU